ensembl:snRNA U6 U6 spliceosomal RNA
GAGCUCGCUUCGGCAGCACAUAUACUAAAAUUGGAGCGAUACAGAGAAGAUUAGCAUGGCCCCUGCGCUAUUUGAAUCAUAUAUUUCCAACCACCUCAUGGAUAAU